GAGGAACUUGAAGGCCACCCGGACUCCCCCGUAUUCUCGGGGAGCAGCCUGGGCUUACGGCACGUGCUGCCCCCUCCCUGGCCAAUGAGCUGAAAGUUCCAGAAGUUGCAGAAGAAGCCAAGAGAAGGGAGUUGAUGAGUGCCUGCAGAGGAAGAGAGAAGGCCCCUCCCUUUGGAGAUAAAGAGACAGAGGAAGCAAAGCGAAGUAACUUGUUAAUAGAUGCUGGAACCUGGAACCCGGAACCGAGGACUUUCUAGCCGAUGGCGCCUGCCUCACCAUUUUGCCUCAGGAGGGCCGCUUCCUCCAAUUUCAGGGAGCGAGGGGCUCACCUCCCUGCAGCCGGACAGAAGAGCAGGGCAAUUGGGAUCGGGGACACGGACCCGCAGAGGAGAAGGCUCAGUGAAGACAGAGGCAGAGACUGGAACGAUUCGUCUACAAGCCAAGGGACACCAAGGAUGACCGGCCACCACCAGAGGCCG